CUCUACAACCAAAAGGGGCGUGGAUUUCAGGCUGUCCAAUCUAAUCAAGUGGGAUCCAAGAAAGCAGCAACAUGGAGGAGCCCGUGGUAAUUGUGUGGAUUACCUUUCAAGGACCCGGAAGCCCAGUACAGGGUACUGUGUUGUCAUGUGGGGGAUUGGCUACACUGUGACCCUGGGGGUAGUCCUCACGUAACGUUGUUGCCAAUGAUUUUCACCCCAGUUUUCUCCCCAAUUUGGAAUCGGCAAUUGUGUUAUUACUAAUCACCACUGCAACUCGGGAAACGAAGGCUGAAACACGCGUCCUCCGAGACGUGUUCCUGCCAAGCCGUCAUUUUUUGCAAUGCGGAUCCACAGCGAAGCC